UACGUAGGGCGCAAGCGUUUGUCCGGAAUUAUUGGGCGUAAAGAGCUCGUAGGUGGCUGGUCGCGUCUGCCGUGAAAGUCCGGGGCUCAACUCCGGAUCUGCGGUGGGUACGGGCAGACUAGAGUGAUGUAGGGGAGACUGGAAUUCCUGGUGUAGCGGUGAAAUGCGCAGAUAUCAGGAGGAACACCGAUGGCGAAGGCAGGUCUCUGGGCAUUAACUGACGCUGAGGAGCGAAAGCAUGGGGAGCGAACAGG
rnacentral:rRNA from 1 species